rnacentral:tRNA from 1 species
GUUCUGGUGGUUCAGUGGUAGAAUUUUCACCUCCUGUAUGGGAGUUCCAGGUUCAAUUUCUGGCCAAUACA